AAUCAACGCUGGCGGCGUGCCUCAGACAUGCAAGUCGAACGCGAAAGGUUCCUUCGGGGACCGAGUAGAGUGGCGCACGGGUGAGUAACACGUAGGUAAUUUGCCUUUGGGUGGGGAAUAACUCAGGGAAACUUGAGCUAAUACCGCAUAAUGCAGCGGCUCGACAUCGAGACAGUUGUUAAAGCGGGGGAUUCGCAAGAACCUCGCGCCUAAAGAGAAGCCUGCGGCAGAUAGCUAGUUGGUAAGGUAAUGGCUUACCAAGGCGACGAUCUGUAACCGGUCUGAGAGGGCGGUCGGUCACACUGACACUGACAUACGGGUCAGACUCCUACGGGAGGCAGCAGUCGGGAAUUUUGGGCAAUGGGCG
rnacentral:rRNA from 1 species